rnacentral:rRNA from 1 species
GAACGCUGGCGGCAUGCCUUACACAUGCAAGUCGAACGGCAGCGCGGGGCAACCUGGCGGCGAGUGGCGAACGGGUGAGUAAUAUAUCGGAACGUACCCUAGAGUGGGGGAUAACGUAGCGAAAGUUACGCUAAUACCGCAUACGAUCUAAGGAUGAAAGUGGGGGAUCGCAAGACCUCAUGCUCCUGGAGCGGCCGAUAUCUGAUUAGCUAGUUGGUGGGGUAAAGGCCUACCAAGGCAUCGAUCAGUAGCUGGUCUGAGAGGACGACCAGCCACACUGGAACUGAGACACGGUCCAGACUCCUACGGGAGGCAGCAGUGGGGAAUUUUGGACAAUGGGCGAAAGCCUGAUCCAGCAAUGCCGCGUGAGUGAAGAAGGCCUUCGGGUUGUAAAGCUCUUUUGUCAGGGAAGAAACGGCCUGUUCUAAUACAGUGGGCUAAUGACGGUACCUGAAGAAUAAGCACCGGCUAACUACGUGCCAGCAGCCGCGGUAAUACGUAGGGUGCAAGCGUUAAUCGGAAUUACUGGGCGUAAAGCGUGCGCAGGCGGUUAUGUAAGACAGAUGUGAAAUGCCCGGGCUUAACCUGGGAACUGCAUUUGUGACUGCAUGGCUAGAAUCUGGCAGAGGGGGGUAGAAUUCCACGUGUAGCAGUGAAAUGCGUAGAGAUGUGGAGGAACACCGAUGGCGAAGGCAGCCCCCUGGGUCAAGAUUGACGCUCAUGCACGAAAGCGUGGGGA